rnacentral:rRNA from 1 species
UACAACUUUCAGCGGUGGAUGUCUAGGUUCCCACAACGAUGAAGAACGCAGCGAAAUGCGAUACGUAAUGCGAAUUGCAAGACCUCGUGYAUMAUUAAAAUUUUGAACGCACAUUGCGCUUUCGGGAUUUUCCCGGGAGCAUACUUGUCUGAGU